GAUGAACGCUGGCGGCGUGCCUAAUACAUGCAAGUCGAGCGAAUGGAUUAAGAGCUUGCUCUUAUGAAGUUAGCGGCGGACGGGUGAGUAACACGUGGGUAACCUGCCCAUAAGACUGGGAUAACUCCGGGAAACCGGGGCUAAUACCGGAUAACAUUUUGAACCGCAUGGUUCGAAAUUGAAAGGCGGCUUCGGCUGUCACUUAUGGAUGGACCCGCGUCGCAUUAGCUAGUUGGUGAGGUAACGGCUCACCAAGGCAACGAUGCGUAGCCGACCUGAUAGGGUGAUCGGCCACACUGGGACUGAGACACAGCCCAGACUCCUACGGGAGGUAGCAGUAGGGAACCUUCCGCAAUGGACGAAAGGCUGACGGAGCAACGCCGCGUGAGUGAUGAAGGCUUUCGGGUGGUAAAACUCUGUUGUUAGGGAAGAACAAGUGCUAGUUGAAUAAGCUGGCACCUUGACGGUACCUAACCAGAAAGCCACGGCUAACUACGUGCCAGCCGCCGCUGUAA
rnacentral:rRNA from 1 species